rnacentral:rRNA from 1 species
UACGGGGGGGGCAAGCGUUGUUCGGAAUUACUGGGCGUAAAGGGCUCGUAGGCGGCCAACUAAGUCGGACGUGAAAUCCCCAGGCUUAACUUGGGAACUGCGUCCGAUACUGGAUGGCUUGAAUCCGGGAGAGGGAUGCGGAAUUCCAGGUGUAGCGGUGAAAUGCGUAGAUAUCUGGAGGAACACCGGUGGCGAAGGCAGCUCGCUGGGACGUGACUGACGCUGAGACGCGAAAGCGUGGGGAGCAAACAGG